UAGCGGCGGACGGGUGAGUAACACGUGGAUAACCUACCUAUAAGACUGGGAUAACUUCGGGAAACCGGAGCUAAUACCGGAUAAUAUUUUGAACCGCAUGGUUCAAAAGUGAAAGACGGUCUUGCUGUCACUUAUAGAUGGAUCCGCGCUGCAUUAGCUAGUUGGUAAGGUAACGGCUUACCAAGGCAACGAUGCAUAGCCGACCUGAGAGGGUGAUCGGCCACACUGGAACUGAGACACGGUCCAGACUCCUACGGGAGGCAGCAGUAGGGAAUCUUCCGCAAUGGGCGAAAGCCUGACGGAGCAACGCCGCGUGAGUGAUGAAGGUCUUCGGAUCGUAAAACUCUGUUAUUAGGGAAGAACAUAUGUGUAAGUAACUGUGCACAUCUUGACGGUACCUAAUCAGAAAGCCACGGCUAACUACGUGCCAGCAGCCGCGGUAAUACGUAGGUGGCAAGCGUUAUCCGGAAUUAUUGGGCGUAAAGCGCGCGUAGGCGGUUUUUUAAGUCUGAUGUGAAAGCCCACGGCUCAACCGUGGAGGGUCAUUGGAAACUGGAAAACUUGAGUGCAGAAGAGGAAAGUGGAAUUCCAUGUGUAGCGGUGAAAUGCGCAGAGAUAUGGAGGAACACCAGUGGCGAAGGCGACUUUCUGGUCUGUAACUGACGCUGAUGUGCGAAAGCGUGGGGAUCAAACAGGAUUAGAUACCCUGGUAGUCCACGCCGUAAACGAUGAGUGCUAAGUGUUAGGGGGUUUCCGCCCCUUAGUGCUGCAGCUAACGCAUUAAGCACUCCGCCUGGGGAGUACGACCGCAAGGUUGAAACUCAAAGGAAUUGACGGGGACCCGCACAAGCGGUGGAGCAUGUGGUUUAAUUCGAAGCAACGCGAAGAACCUUACCAAAUCUUGACAUCCUUUGACAACUCUAGAGAUAGAGCCUUCCCCUUCGGGGGACAAAGUGACAGGUGGUGCAUGGUUGUCGUCAGCUCGUGUCGUGAGAUGUUGGGUUAAGUCCCGCAACGAGCGCAACCCUUAAGCUUAGUUGCCAUCAUUAAGUUGGGCACUCUAAGUUGACUGCCGGUGACAAACCGGAGGAAGGUGGGGAUGACGUCAAAUCAUCAUGCCCCUUAUGAUUUGGGCUACACACGUGCUACAAUGGACAAUACAAAGGGCAGCGAAACCGCGAGGUCAAGCAAAUCCCAUAAAGUUGUUCUCAGUUCGGAUUGUAGUCUGCAACUCGACUACAUGAAGCUGGAAUCGCUAGUAAUCGUAGAUCAGCAUGCUACGGUGAAUACGUUCCCGGGUCUUGUACACACCGCCCGUCACACCACGAGA
rnacentral:rRNA from 1 species